rnacentral:rRNA from 1 species
UAGUCCACGCCGUAAACGAUGAAUGCUCGCUGAUGGUGCUUCUACCGCAUUAUUGGCCAAGCUAACGCAUUAAGCAUUCCGCCUGGGGAGUACGGCCGCAAGGUUAAAACUCAAAGGAAUUGACGGGGGGCCCGCACAAGCGGUGGAGCAUGUGGUUUAAUUCGAAGCAACGCGCAGAACCUUACCCAGGCUUGACAUCCUUUGAACCUCUUCGAAAGUUGAGGGUGCUCUCUCACGAGAGAACGAAGUGACAGGUGCUGCAUGGCUGUCGUCAGCUCGUGCUGUGAAGUGUUCGGUUAAGUCCGGCAACGAGCGCAACCCCUAUCGUUAGUUACCAGCAUUUGGUUGGGGACUCUAGCGAGACUGCCGGUGAUAAACCGGGAGGAAGGUGGGGGACGACGUCAAGGUCCUCAUGGCCCUUAUGUCUGGGGGCUACACACGUGCUACAAUGGGUAUCUACAGAGGGCGCGAAAUCGCGAGAUCAAGCAAAUCCCUU